rnacentral:lncRNA from 1 species
GCCGCCCGGGUUUCCUCCUCCUGUGCUGCGUCACCCCCGGUGGUGGUCCCAGGUAUUACUGGCCCUUGGACCAGACCUGGGGAGCCCGCAGCCGAAGAGGCUCCUGCUCGGGGCGGCGUGGGCCGCCCUUGGACCAGACCUCUGAGGAGUCAGUUGGGGGAGCCUCUCCAGCCCUGGUCGGGCUGCUUGUCGUAGUCGGUGCCGCACUCGGGAGCCCCUCGGUGCUCCCAGGCGCGACUGCAGCUGUUGGCUGCUCUGUGGUCUUGGGGGCCGCAUCCCCAGAACCGCGGGCAGGCUCGCCCGUUCCCUGGCUGGCAGUUUGGCCGAGGUCGACAUCCGAUGCCGCACUACAGGAACAAAAGUCAAAUUUCAAAAAAAAAAUAUAAAAAGUCAAAGAGGAGUCCAAA